GAGAGCUAGCUUCAUGCUUUGGAAGGAAGAAAAAAGACAGAGAAUUGAAUUUUUUUUCUUCAUAGGGUUUUGGGAAGACUGAGGUAAUUGUUGCUGAAGUCGAUGUGUUGUACUGGUGAAUUGGGGUUUUAAUGAAGUGGGUGUGAUUACUCUUGACUGUUUUGGAAAAUCAAAGUUACGUCUGUGAUUGAAGAAUUAAAAGGGUAUCUAUAGGAUUGAGUAUGGGGAGUGAAUGAAAUUUUUUGGGUUAAUCUAACAAAACAGUCAGUGGAUAUAAGGUCGUGAGUAUAAAGCG
rnacentral:lncRNA from 1 species